GUCCCUUGCUGAACUGCUAAGGCUCAAACAGAAACUUAGAAGCUGCCAGAGCCUCCCUGACCGCUGAGUUUCUGAGCUAGGAAUUAUCAAGUGGUCAAGGGACCCACCGCUAUCAAGGAAGUAUCUGAGGGACACAUUCCAUGCCAAGUGGAACGGUUACUUCUGUCGGUGAGGCACACUGGUGGGACGGGAGGUGGACCUGAGUCGGAAAGAUCUGGUUCUUCCUAGAAAACUUUCACCUUCUGAGCCUUAGGGUCCUGUUCUGUAAGUCAGGAUGGAAAAUACCGGCACCUCUUUCAAUCUGUAACCCUGACCCAUCCUGGACCCAUGUGGUCCACUCUAUGGAGCCGCAUUCAAAAGUCAAGUCCAGAUAAAUCAGCCAAGAGUCACAAAAAGGAACGCUGAGACUGAAUCUGUCUCUUGAAAAACUGAAGGAGAUGAAACGUAAAACCUAGGCCAAUACGGCAUCCCAUCUUCCUCCUCUCCAUUAUUUUCCCGCACCCCAUGAUUUUCUGGGGCCUCUGAUAUACUCAUUGCCACUGGUGUCGCCCCCAUGAACUCACACCAAAGACGGUUUUCAUUCCCCCCGCCCAUCACCCCAAGUCUUUCCCGUCAUCUCUCCCUUCUCCUCUCUCUGCUCCUUCUUUCUCCUUCUCUCUAGUUCUUUCAUCUACCCACCUGCCCACCUUUCUUUCCUCCUUCCAGCACCUGGUCUUACUAUUCUUUGCCCAUUCACCCAUUGCACAUCAAGAAUUAGAAAGAGAUCAGCUCUUCUCAUAGGCCCAGCAGAGCAGAGGAGGCCAGGGCAGCCCAGCAUUCCCCAGGGAGCGGGAGGGGAAAGACCAGGAACAUUCACUUGCCAGCCAUUGGAGACCCUACGAGGACAGGAAGAAACGCGUGACAAGUUGUCGGGGGUGAGUGUACAGUGAAGAGUAAACAUGCAGUUGAUGUUGACGAUGGUGACAGUGACUACUGGCUGAACUUCAUUAACGAUGAGACGCACCCAGUCCACUGAGGCGUCUCUGGAACCAUAACCAGCCUCCUUCCUAGUUACUGUCAACCAAAGCCGCCCUGUCCUAGUGCUGUGAGCAGGACACGCUGCCUGAAUAGCACGAUGAAAUAUCUGUGCAAAACCCAACAUGUCUGAAGCAAGAACCCUACCCGCUCCAGAGGAUGAAUGCUCCUUUGAGCCUCAGAGUCUGUGGUUUUAGUUUGUACCCAGAGAAUUGUUUAAUUUUUAAAAGACCAUGAAAUGAUCUCACAAAAUCCACCCUAUAUCAAGCCCCAAAGCAAACCACAGCGAUCCACACCCGUGUCUUACAUUUGCAUGGAGUCUGGGCUCUAAGUGGACUCUUCUGAUCAGCUGCACAUUAUUUACUUUUGAAAGAUUAAUGACUUCAUUCUUUUGCGAAAGAUGAUGCAUGCUCAUUGCAAAAAAUCUAAACUGUACUGAAAAGCACAAAGAAGAGGAUAAGUUUUAAAAGGCCUCAAAAAUCCCACAACCCAGAAAUAGCCACCAUUAAUAUUUGGUGAACAUCAUUCCAGCGAAGUCUCAUUUAAACUUGCAAAAUACAACCAGCCCUGAGGUGGGUGGCCAUGAGUACAAUCUCCUGUUCUCCACACACAGAUGCCACUCAAGAUGCAGAGGCAACCAGUCUGAGGCAUAGCAGGGCCCAGUGGGCAACGCUGGCACCAACGCAGUUUCAGACACGAGCCCUCGGGGUCGGUACACCCAGCCUCAGCUCAUCCACAGCUCCCCUCCUUGGAGCGGGGAGGACAACAGCUUUCCCGGGAGGGCCCAAGCCCUUGCCUCACAGGCAUCCAUGGGAGAGUCUGCAGAGGCUGUAUUCAGAGCCAGAAGAUCCCAGGGCUUGUACCAAGGGCUAAAAUUUCAUGAGGACAUACCAUGUGCCAGCACAGUGCUAGCUCUUAUGAGCUUUAUCCCACUCAAUCCUCACAGUAUCCCAUGAGUUGGGGGCUUGUCAUAGGGAGGACCCUGAGACAAGGGACUGAGUGCAAAUGGCUUACUGAUCUGAGAGGGAACAGCAGGAAAUACUGGUGGGGAGAGUGGGGAAGUGAGACGGGCAAGAGAAGACAGUCAAUAAACAGGGCACUGUCAAGCACAUGAUAUAGGCAAUGAGGGCUCACUCCUGCUGGGGGCUCUAGGGGACAGUGCAGAUCACACUCAGAGUUGACGUUCCUAAAGAGUGAGGGAGCUGGCCAUUUGUCCAUUAGCUCCCUAAACUCUUCAGGGCUUUUUUUUUUUUUUUUUUUUUUUUUUUUUUUUUUUUCUGAGACAGAGUCUUGCUCUGUCACUCAAGCUGGAGUGUAGUGGUGAGAUCUCAGCUCACUAUAAUCUCCACCUCCCAGGUUCAAGUGAUUCUCCUGCCUCAGCCUCCCAAGAAGCUGGGAUUACAGGUGUGCACCACCAUGCCCAGCUAAUUUUUGUAUUUUUAGUAGAGAUGGGCUUCACCAUGUUGGCCAGGCUGGUCUUGAACUCCUGAUCUCACGUGAUCCACCCGCCUCGGCCUCCCAAAGUGCUGGGAUUACAGGCGGCAGCCACUGCGCCUGGCCAACUCUUCAGGGCUUCUGACUGCCGUGUGCCCAGGCCAAAGUGAUCCCACAGCCAGAAAAAAGCAUGCGCUCUGCAGGGUCACAGGUGUUCAUGGUGCACAGCUGGCAGCCCUCACGCGAUGCUGAGGGGGUGGCCAGCUGCAGCUUCUGCCAGAGGAUUGUUGGUGUUCUCUGUGCACAGAAGCCUAUCAUGGCCCCGAGAGGUCAAGAGACUUGCCCAGAGUCAAGCAGCUAGAAAGGGACAAUUCAGGAAUGAAAACUGGCUCUGGCCACUGCAAAGCUCUUUCCAUCACAUCAGUGAGGGCCACGAUGGUCGGGUGAAGAGGAUAUCAGAUUUGCCAAGAGAUCCUGAAGAAGUGUCAAGAAUGCUUGGUGACACAAGGACAAGAUCCAGAAACAAGAUCCACAAGGCUCUGAGAGUGGAGGCCAGAAAACAGUUUGCCAAGGUCUGGCUUUAAAAGUCAAAUUCCAGCCUAGGAGUAAGCAUGCAAAGAAGAUGCUCAACGUCAUUAGCCCUCGGGAAAACGCAAGCUAAAACCAUAAAGAGAUACGACUUCGUCCUACGAGGAUGGCUGUAAUAGAAAAUGACAGACAACGCCAAGUGUUGGCAAAGGUGUGGAGAAACUGGGAAUCUUGUGUGUUGCUGGUGGGAAGGUAAACUGGUACAGCCACCUUGGAAAAUUGUUUGAAAGUUUCUUAAAACAUUAUACAUAAAUUUAUCAUAUGACCCAGCAAUUCUGUUCCUAGAAAUCUACCCAAGAGAAAGAGAAACAAACUCCAAAGACAUGCCCAAGAAUGUCCAUAGCAGCAUUCUUCACAGAAACAACUUAAAUUCAUCAACUGAUGAAUGGAUAAACAAGAUGUGGUAUAGCCAUUCAACCAAACAGUAUUUGGCAAUAAAAAGGAUUGAAUUACCCACAUGCUACAAGACGGAUGCAACUCAUAACCACUACACUAAGGGAAAGAAGCCAGAUAAGAAAGACAUAGUGUAUGAUUUCUCUUAUGUGAAAUGUCUAGAAAGGCAAUUUCACAGAGACAGAAAGUGGAACAUUCAUUGCCUGGGGCACAGAACAGGAAUGAGACUGCAAACAAGCAUGAGGGCAUCUUUCAAGAUGGUGGAAAUGCUCUAAAACUGAAUUGUGGUGAUGACUGUACAACUUUAUAAAUUUACUAAGAUCACUGAAUUGUGUACUCACAGUGGGUGAAUUUUAUGGUAUGUGGAUUCCAUUUCAAUAAUGCUAUUUUUUAAAAAUGCUAUCCUAGGGAGGUAGUCAUCAGACAAAACCAAAGGUAGUAUGGCUCAGUGGCGAAGCGUAUAGGCUUCACGAGCAGACUCCAGAUCAAAUCUAAGCUCUACUUCAUCCAUCCACCCAUCCAUCAUCUACUCACCCACCUACCAUUCACCCACACAUCCAUCCAUCUGCCCAACCACCCACCCAUCCAUCCAUCCAUCCAUCCAUCCAUCCACCCACCCGCCCACCCAUCCAUCCAUUAAUCCAUCCACUCAUUCAUUCAUCCAUCUACUUAUCCAUCCAACCAUUCACCUACCCUCUCAACUAUCCACCCACCCAACUAUCCACCCACCCACCCAUCCAUCCUUCACCCACCUCAUCAUCCAUUCAUCACCCAUCUACCAUCCAUACUUCCAUCACUCACUCAUCGAUCUAUUCACCCUUCCAUCCAAUCAUCCCAUGAAGAUCUACUAUGACGUGCCAAGCACUAUGUUAAGUACUAAGGAUAACCAUGGUGAACAAAGCAGACAAGCCCCGGUGCUCAUGAAACUUACAGUCUAUUACUUGCACCAGUUUCCUUGUCUGCAAAUCAGGAUAAGAAUAACUACUGUCAAAGGCUUGCUGUGACUAUUUCAUGAGAUAAUAUAUAAAACACUUAGCUCAGUUCCUGGCUAAACAGCAGCUCUGAUUGUUUUCACCUACCAAGUUCUGUAAAGGAGUAGUCCAGGGAGGUAGAACUCAGGAGGGCUCCCCAC
rnacentral:lncRNA from 1 species